rnacentral:rRNA from 1 species
AGCUCCAGUGGCGUAUAUUAAUGCUGCUGCAGUUAAAAAGCUCGUAGUUGGAUCUAGGGCUUAGGCUAACGGUCCCUCGCAAGGGGUGCACUGUUUGUUCCUAGCCUCCCUCGCGGCUUGCGCCCGGUUCUCUUAACUGAGUGCCGGGUGCGGCCGGAACGUUUACUUUGAAAAAAUUGGAGUGUUCAAAGCAGGCGCAACAGCCUGAACAGCAGAGCAUGGAAUAAUGGAAUAGGACCUCGGUUCUAUUGCGUUGGUUUUAGGAGUCCGAGGUAAUGAUUGAGAGGGACUGACGGGGGCAUUCGUAUUGCGGUGUGAGAGGUGAAAUUCUUGGAUCGCCGCAAGACGACCGACAGCGAAAGCAUUUGCCAAGAAUGUCUUCAUUAAUCAAGAACGAAAG